AGGCUCCGAGGUGUCACACGUGGGGUUGCAAACCCCAAGAAGCAGAAUAAGUUCCUGCCGGGGCUUC
rnacentral:tRNA from 1 species